UUGAACGCUGGCGGCAGGCCUAACACAUGCAAGUCGCGCGGAUGAAGGGAGCUUGCUCCUGGAUUCAGCGGCGGACGGGUGAGUAAUGCCUAGGAAUCUGCCUGGUAGUGGGGGAUAACGUCCGGAAACGGGCGCUAAUACCGCAUACGUCCUGAGGGAGAAAGUGGGGGAUCUUCGGACCUCACGCUAUCAGAUGAGCCUAGGUCGGAUUAGCUAGUUGGUGGGGUAAAGGCCUACCAAGGCGACGAUCCGUAACUGGUCUGAGGGGAAGAUCAGUCACACUGGAACAGAGGAACGGUCCAGACUCCUACGGGAGGCCGCAGUGGGGAAUAUUGGACGAUGGGCGAAAGCCUGAUCCAGCCAUGCCGCGUGUGUGAAGAAGGUCUUCGGAUUGUAAAGCACUUUAAGUUGGGAGGAAGGGCAGUAAGUUAAUACCUUGCUGUUUUGACGUUACCAACAGAAUAAGCACCGGCUAACUUCGUG
rnacentral:rRNA from 1 species